AUACCGGCCUGUCACGCCGGGGGUCGCGGGUUCGAGCCCCGUCCGCUCCGCCA
rnacentral:tRNA from 1 species